rnacentral:rRNA from 1 species
GAGUUUGAUCGUGGCUCAGAUUGAACGCUGGCGGCAUGCCUUACACAUGCAAGUCGAACGGCAGCACGGGAGCUUGCUCCUGGUGGCGAGUGGCGAACGGGUGAGUAAUGCAUCGGAACGUAUCCUGGAGUGGGGGAUAACGUAGCGAAAGUUACGCUAAUACCGCAUAUUCUGUGAGCAGGAAAGCGGGGGACCCUCGGGCCUCGCGCUCUUGGAGCGGCCGAUGUCGGAUUAGCUAGUUGGUGAGGUAAAGGCUCACCAAGGCGACGAUCCGUAGCAGGUCUGAGAGGAUGAUCUGCCACACUGGAACUGAGACACGGUCCAGACUCCUACGGGAGGCAGCAGUGGGGAAUUUUGGACAAUGGGGGCAACCCUGAUCCAGCCAUGCCGCGUGAGUGAAGAAGGCC